rnacentral:rRNA from 1 species
AUGUCUAAUAAGCGCCGGGGAUAUGCCGGCGACGGCGGUGAAAAGAGGUCGCGGCGGAUCAAGCAUCUGUACCUCGUGUUGGAUGACUGGACCAAGGGGUACAGCAUCCACAAGAUCCAAGCCGAUAGCUUCGACUCUGACUCUGACUCUGACUCUGAUGACCAGCACAGCGGCGCUGCCCGGCACCUCCCGGAGCCUCCGGCCCUGCGGUUAGAGUGCCCGGUUGGCACUGUACCCCAUCCCGGCAUGUCGUUCUCUGCCUUGGGCACCAAGAUCUUCACCUUCAUGAACCAGCGAUGCAGCCUCAUCUACGACACCAAGACGGCCGCAAUGACGAUUGGCGCCCAUGCCCCUGCUGACAUGGUCUGUGGCUUCGGCAUCACCGUGGUCGUUGGUGAGAUGCUCUAUGCAUUAUCUUACCACUUCGACAAGAAACAACACUCCUUUGGUGUCAUGUCAUGGGGGUCCAUUGCGCCGGAUGCGCUGCAACAUCCAACCGAGGGCUGA